CCUACGGGAGGCAGCAGUAGGGAAUCUUCGGCAAUGGACGGAAGUCUGACCGAGCAACGCCGCGUGAGUGAAGAAGGUUUUCGGAUCGUAAAGCUCUGUUGUAAGAGAAGAACGAGUGUGAGAGUGGAAAGUUCACACUGUGACGGUAUCUUACCAGAAAGGGACGGCUAACUACGUGCCAGCAGCCGCGGUAAUACGUAGGUGGCGAGCGUUGUCCGGAAUCAUUGGGCGUAAAGGGAGCGCAGGCGGGCAUGUAAGUCUUUCUUAAAAGUUCGGGGCUCAACCCCGUGAUGGGAAAGAAACUAUGUGUCUUGAGUACAGGAGAGGAAAGCGGAAUUCCCAGUGUAGCGGUGAAAUGCGUAGAUAUUGGGAGGAACACCAGUGGCGAAGGCGGCUCUCUGG
rnacentral:rRNA from 1 species